UUGCACUGCGCGCGAGCCAAUGGUCGUCCUCCGGAACACCAAAGGCGCAAAAAACAUAACUUGAGUUGUGCGGGAUUACGGGCGCGGCUCUCUGCAGCGUCCCUCCAUCCCCGGGUGUUGUAACCGGCAUGCGGUGUGGUCCCUCGGGGCCGUCACCGUGCCACAACAUACCGUGAGUGUGCAGGAUGUGACCCGAAAGAUGGUGAACUAUGCCUGAUCAGGUUGAAGUCAGGGGAAACCCUGAUGGAGGACCGAAGCAGUUCUGACGUGCAAAUCGAUUGUCAGAAUUGGGCAUAGGGGCGAAAGACCAAUCGAACCAUCUAGUAGCUGGUUCCUUCCGAAA
rnacentral:rRNA from 1 species